UAUGUACUAGUACUCCGUCCAAAAAUACUUGUCAUUAAAAUGGAUAAAAAAAGGAUGUAUCUAUAACUAAAAUAUGUCUAGAUACAUCCCCUUUAUUCAUUUUGGUGACAAGUAUUUCCGGACGGAGGGAGUAUAAU
rfam:Triticum urartu cultivar G1812 contig896765, whole genome shotgun sequence.